CGGCGGGCAGAGCUGGCUCCAAGCCAGGGCAGAUGUGGGAAAACCAUGCUGCCUUUUUUAUUUCUGAUGGAAAGCCCUUGUUCAGCUCCACGAAGAUGUGUUUAUAAAUCCGUGUUCUGGUAUGGUUUAGAUUUGCAACCGGGAAGGGGACAUGGCUCCUUUGAAAGGAAGCAGGCUCUUCAGGGAACAGAGAUCCCCAGAGGAGGCCGAGGGGAGGAAGAGGGCCAGCAGAAAUUUCCCUCUGAUGAUGCUGUGGCGUGUGGAUUGGAGUGGGAACAAAUGGCCAGCACAACACCAGCUAUUACCACCCUAUCAGCUCUCAACAGAGUUUAUAUAUACUGUAUAUAAAAUAUACACACACGCAUGAGUAUUUUUCACAUAUAUAUAUAUAUAUAUACACCUUUAGACUUUAAUCUAUAAAUAUAAUUUUUCUUACAAAUUUUUCUUUUAUUCCACAAAGAUGCUUUUGCUAGUGACUUUUUGCUAGUGACAGGGGUACACAGCAGGCACUUGUAUUAAUUGGUGUGUGUAUAAAUAAUGCUGCAGUAACAAUUAAACCCUGAGAUCUCAGGAUUAAUAGGCAAUGGUUUAUUUACUACCCAGCCAACAUCCAAAAUGAGUCUGGAAACUCUCAAGAAUUCCAGCUACUUCCAGUUCAAGGCGCUGCCCUCCCCACCAUGUGCCUCCAUGCUCACCACCAUGCUCCAUGCUCAAAAAAGCACCUAUCAGCCUUUUAACACCUCAACUCAGAAAUGAACAAUGUCACUUCUGUUCAUGCUUCAUUGUGUGAACAUAGUCACACAGUCUCACCUAACCCUGAGAGGACUGGGAAGGGUGCCUAGUAGGGAAGGAGGAUCUGCACAGGUGAGCACCACCAGCCUGCACCUCAGCUGCUGGUGUCUGAUGAAUGAAUGAAAUUUGACCACUAGAAAUGUAGGGGACCCUCGGUCCACAUAAAGGAUAUGUACUGAAAAUUUGAUACUCAUGGCUAUCACUGUAAAAUGAAAUUUUCCUCAGAAACGUUUUCCUAAUGGCUCUGGGUCAUCCUUUAUUUUCAUUUCUCCCCACAUUGAUUGACCACCAGCAGCAGUGGUUUCAAAUCUGUAAGAUACAAGUCAUAGUCUAUGGCUCAAGAGGAGAUAAGAAUUUUUUCUUUCAGUUUCCCAAAAGUCAUGAAAGACUUUUUGAACAGAACCAGAGCUUAUGGAGCAGAACCCCGUAGAGCCCCAGCGAGAGGUGGGUACUAAGCCCUGCAUCAGGUUCCUACUGGAUGGUUCCUCUAGCUCAUCUGUCUUUUGUCCUGUGUGACUCAAAUUUUUGGCUUGGAAAAAGUACAAAUUGCUACAUG
rnacentral:lncRNA from 12 species